ACACACACACACACACACACACACACACACACACAGAACACACACACACAGAACACACACACACACACACACAGAACACACACACAGAACACACACACACACGGAUGCCCCCCAGACACAUAGGACUAAGUCUUAUGAUUGGGUACUGAUGGCCACCUGUGUGAACUUUACCCUUUAACUCCUGAGGUUGUGUGGUGAGGUCACUGCUCUCUCUCAGCAAUGUAAACUCCAGCAGCACAGAUAUAUUGUAUCCUCAAUUACCUUCAACAACCAGUAGAUGGCGUCUGAUUCGUUCCUUUACAACCAGUAGGUGACGUCUGAUUCGUUCCUUUACAACCAGUAGGUGACGUCUGAUUCGUUCCUUUACAACCAGUAGGUGACGUCUGAUUCGUUCCUUUACAACCAGUAGGUGACGUCUGAUUCGUUCCUGUACAACCAGUAGGUGACGUCUGAUUCGUUCCUGUACAACCAGUAGGUGACGUCUGAUUCGUUCCUUUACAACCAGUAGGUGACGUCUGAUUCGUUCCUUUACAACCAGUAGGUGACGUCUGAUUCGUUCCUUUACAACCAGUAGGUGACGUCUGAUUCGUUCCUUUACAACCAGUAGGUGACGUCUGAUUCGUUCCUGUACAACCAGUAGGUGACGUCUGAUUCGUUCCUUUACAACCAGUAGGUGACGUCUGAUUCGUUCCUUUACAACCAGUAGGUGACGUCUGAUUCGUUCCUUUACAACCAGUAGGUGACGUCUGAUUCGUUCCUGUACAACCAGUAGGUGACGUCUGAUUCGUUCCUGUACAACCAGUAGGUGACGUCUGAUUCGUUCCUUUACAACCAGUAGGUGACGUCUGAUUCGUUCCUUUACAACCAGUAGGUGACGUCUGAUUCGUUCCUUUACAACCAGUAGGUGACGUCUGAUUCGUUCCUUUACAACCAGUAGGUGACGUCUGAUUCGUUCCUGUACAACCAGUAGGUGACGUCUGAUUCGUUCCUUUACAACCAGUAGGUGACGUCUGAUUCGUUCCUGUACGUGCUCAAACUCAAAAACAUAUUGUCAUCUUGUUUACUGAUAUUGUAUCUUGGACAUCUGGACACGUUGGUCAGGUCUCUUAGAUGACUUGUUAAAUCUCUCUAAUCUGUUAGGGACUGAUUCCGAUUAAUGAAUUCAUAUUUCUCCUACGCAUGCACUUCUUAGUAUUUGGCAUUUAUACUUACCUUAUGUAGUCACGAACCUUAUUCAGUCACGUGACUCGUACUGCAGGUGUGGCUAACUUGUGCGGCUCUGAAUACAUUUCAGUAAACCGCUGAGAACUCUCCAGUUUGCUGGCCAACAGAUUUUCUCGCAGAGUUUUCAUUCAACAGGGUUUUCAGGACAUUUAUCUUAAAGCCAUCCCUUUAAAAUACUCUGUACCUUUCAGUUCAAAUGUUGUUAAUAGACUCAUUAGGAUAUAUUGAGAGAUCGGGUAUCUGGAUAUUAGGGAUCAAUGACAGGGGAGUAAUCUAAAUAUAUGCAUAAAUAAAUAAAUAUAAUAUAAUAUAAAUAAAUAUAUGCAUAUUCUUCUCCGUUUUGGUCGAUUUAAAAAUCCUCUGCUCUUGUAGAUUAUCUAUUUAUUUAGGAAAGUAGUUCUGAAUCAUAAAGGACUUUUAAGCACCUAAUAAUGAAAACGGUGGUUUGAUUCAUUGUGAAAAAUGCCACAUUCAGUUCUUUAACCUGUGGUAUUGUUGACAGAUCAGUGUACACAGAAUUAUAUUAGGGAUAAUGGUGUACAAUAGUAGGCUAUACCCUCGUCUAUUACCUGCACUGACCAUGUCAAGUAUUGCGCCAUGCGUCCGGUUCAACCUGUUACGGCUCCGUCUUCACUUCGCUCCAUAACCAUGUAAUUAUCCUACAUGUCUGUUUUGUAUUAUCACCUGUUACUAAUGAUCCUCAGCAACAACCACACGGCCGUGGCGACGUUUACAGAGGAGGCAAAGUAAGGUGAACUAAACAAUGGAAUUAAAUGGAAUGAUAAUGUAGGCUGUACCAUCUGAAGGGAACUAACAGUACAUUGGGCUCCCGAGUGGUGCAGUGGUCUAAGACACUGCAUCUCAGUGCUAGAGGCGUCACUACAGACCCUGGUUCAGCGGUCUAAGACACCGCAUCUCAGUGCUAGAGGCGUCACUACAGACCCUGGUUCAGCGGUCUAAGACACUGCAUCUCAGUGCUAGAGGCGUCACU